UAAUUUAAUGGUUAGGGAUCAACACAAGA
rnacentral:piRNA from 1 species